rnacentral:misc_RNA from 1 species
CCAAUAGCGUAUAUUAAAGUUGCUGCAGUUAAAAAGCUCGUAGUUGAAUUUCGGGACUAAUAUGUCGGUCGUGCCUCGGUACGUACUGGUAUUUUUGGUUUCUCCCUUCUGACGAACCUUGAUGUCAUUAAUUUGGUGUCUUGGGAAAUCAGGACUGUUACUUUGAAAAAAUUAGAGUGUUUAAAGCAGGCUCACGCUUGAAUACAUUAGCAUGGAAUAAUGAAAUAGGACGUUUGAUUCUAUUUUGUUGGUUUCUAGGAUCGACGUAAUGAUUAAUAGGGAUAGUUGGGGGCAUUAGUAUUCAAUUGUCAGAGGUGAAAUUCUUGGAUUUAUUGAAGACUAACUACUGCGAAAGCAUUUGCCAAGGAUGUUUUCAUUAAUCAAGAACGAAAGUUAGGGGAUCGAAGACGAUCAGAUACCGUCGUAGUCUUAACCAUAAACUAUGCCGACUAGGGAUCGGAUGAUGUUAAUUUUUUAAUGACUCAUUCGGCGCCUUACA